rnacentral:rRNA from 1 species
AUUGAACGCUGGCGGCAGGCCUAACACAUGCAAGUCGAGCGGAUGAAGGGAGCUUGCUCCUGGAUUCAGCGGCGGACGGGUGAGUAAUGCCUAGGAAUCUGCCUGGUAGUGGGGGAUAACGUCCGGAAACGGGCGCUAAUACCGCAUACGUCCUGAGGGAGAAAGUGGGGGAUCUUCGGACCUCACGCUAUCAAAUGAGCCUAGGUCGGAUUAGCUAGUUGGUGGGGUAAAGGCCUACCAAGGCGACGAUCCGUAACUGGUCUGAGAGGAUGAUCAGUCACACUGGAACUGAGACACGGUCCAGACUCCUACGGGAGGCAGCAGUGGGGAAUAUUGGACAAAGGGCGAAAGCCUGAUCCAGCCAUGCCGCGUGUGUGAAGAAGGUCUUCGGAUUGUAAAGCACUUUAAGUUGGGAGGAAGGGCAGUAAGUUAAUACCUUGCUGUUUUGACGUUACCAACAGAAUAAGCACCGGCUAACUUCGUG